UACAGAGGGUGCAAGCGUUAAUCGGAAUUACUGGGCGUAAAGGGCAUGUAGGUGGUCUAUCAAGUUUGAUGUGAAAGCCCCGGGCUUAACCUGGGAACGGCGUUGAAAACUAGUAGACUAGAGUCGGAGAGAGGGUCGUGGAAUUUCCGGUGUAGCGGUGAAAUGCGUAGAGAUCGGAAAGAACACCCGUGGCUAAGGCGGCUCUCUAGUACGGUACUGACGCUGAGACGCGAAAGCGUGGGGAGCGAACAGG
rnacentral:rRNA from 1 species